CGUUACUUACCGGCUUGUGAGCGCCUCCCUUAAACUCACUCUUACAACACAAAAAACAAGUUUGGACAAUAUUUACGAUCUACGACUCUCACUGCUUGCCCGUAUGGAGAUGUGAUUCAUUUUUUUUAUCCAGUCUGACUGAUCUGUGCUUUUAAGUGUACUGUGAAGACGGAGCAUAUGUGAACUUUCAACGGCAUGCAGAGGAAUUAAGCAGCCGGGUGAUCGGAGCGUCGAGGCUGGAUCGCUCUGAAAUCCAACCCGCGGAUUGAGGCCUAAAUUCCCAAAGCGGAUACAUGAUUGUGUUGAUCAGUUGACAUGAGGAAAGAAGAUACUGAACCGAGUCAGGACGGUUUUGCUGCCGAUCGUUUGAGACAGGUCCUCCUCCAGCCCUGAAUCCAGCAUGACGGAGGUCCAGGCCACUGUGGAGUUCUCUGUGGAGCUCCACAAGUUCUAUAAUGUGGAUCUCUUCCAAAGAGGGUUCUAUCAGAUCCGAGCCAGUAUGAAAGUGCCCCCACGGAUCCCGCAGAGGGUGGAAGCCAGUCUGCUGCAUCCCAUAGGUUCGGAUCUGGCUUUCCCAGCAGCAGUUCAAGAUGAUGUGGUCUGCAGCAAAACCUUUCAGAUCCUUUAUAAAAACGAGGAGAUUGUAGUCAACGACGUCCUCGUAUUCAAAGUGAUGAUGCUGCUAGAUGCAAAGAAGGUGGAAGAGUCCUUAAAUGAAAUGGACUUUCAGAUGUCGUUGGACCUGUACUUCACCGAUGGCGACUACUCGCCCGAGGACCCAAGUUCUCUCCAGAGCAUCAGCAGUCGAAUACUGCGUUUGCACUUUAGCCUCCACAGAGGCAUUCAUCAGCACGUCAAUGUCAUGUUUGACUACUUCCACCUGUCUGUCAUCUCUGCCACUAUCCACGCAUCACUGGUGGCUCUGCAUCAACCUCUAAUCAGUUUCCCACGGCCAGUCAAAAGCACAUGGCUGAAUCGGAAUGCUCCGGCACAGACCAAAGACUCUCUCAUCCCAACGCUGGAGUCUGUGGUGUUUGGCACCACCUACGUCAAGCAGCUGUCCCCAGAUGGCAAAACCUUCCUGGUAUUGGAUCAGUGCCUACAGCAUGCCUUCAGCCUGCACCAGAACAUGUGUGCCAGCUUGCUGCGGGCAUAUCAGGGUCUGUUCUGCUAUUUAACCUCCCUGACCAAGAAUCUGCCCGCAUCUCAGCGCAUAGAGCUAGCCAAGCCCAGCAUGCAGGUCCUUUAUGAACGAGUUCUCAGAAGACCUUACCCUCGAGGCCAAAGGCACGUCUACAUAGAGGAACUUGAUGUGGAGGCCCGACUUAAUGAGCUUUGUGAACAAGUCAAGCAGAGGGCAGAGAGCCCAGAUGAGUUGGCUGAACUGGUGAACAUGAAUUUGGCGCAGCUAUGCUCUCUGCUCAUGGCAUUGUGGGGGAAUUUCCUGGAAGUGGUGUCCCUGAAUGAGCGUGUCUCUGAGCUGUUGGCCCAGGAGCACCAUACAUUACGGGUGCAAAGAUUUGCAGAAGCUUUCUUUUGUCUUGAACACCCAAGACAGAGUGCCCUGGCCUACCAGGAACUGCAUGCUCACAGUCACCAACAGAUGACCACAGCUAUCAAGAACUCCUCCUACUUCUUGUCCUUGCCACCUCUUCCUGUUGAAUGUGCUGAUCUUGAUGGGGAUGUGAACUCCCUACCAAUCAUCUUUGAGGACAGAUAUUUGGAAUCAGUUACUGAAGAUCGCGAUGGUCCAUGGCUUGGUCUCCACAACAACAGGAGUGGCUCUGUGUCCACUAAAGCAGACAGGUCCAACUCAAAGGACUGUAUUGCUAGUGGAUUGGGAGGCCUUGGUCCGUACCCAGAUAAGCAGCAAGCUGCCCUUGCCACGGCUUGGCCUGAACAAAAUGAGCCUCCCCUCAAAUCCAAAGCCAAAUCUAUCAAGCUGAAGAAGAAUGCCAAGACUGAAAAUUCAAAGAAGCUGAUCAGGCAAAGCUCGAAAGACUCAGUGGUCCUCACAGGCUACAAGAACUUGAAGGUUCCUCAUGGUGAACCAACCACCAAGUCCAAAGAAGUUGACACUCAGUGCAAUCCAAAAGGCGAGCUUGACGAUGUAGGCAAAUACAUCCUCCAGAAUGAAACUGCAACCGCACAUUGUGCUCAGAAUACUAAAGACUGCACCACAAGCGACAUUCAAGGCAACGUCGGUAUCCAGAGUGACAGCUUUUCCAAUCUUUUGAGUUUGCAAAUGCAGGCUAGGCCCCAGGCAGGUACUGGAGCAGAAGCCGCACAAAGUGCAGCUGCCAGAAUUGAUUUGACACAUCCACCUGUUGGGCUCAGACAUAUAGAUGUCAAACCAAGCGACAAGGACCCCUACCAGGGCGAUAAGGUCACCAUUCUCUUACCGCACCACUCAGAUCCAUCCGCCAAGAGGGAUGUUCCAGAGAUCACACAGACCGAUUUCUCUGAAUUCAAGAGCCGAGUUGGGGAUGGUGCCACGUUCAUCGGAGCUUGUGGAGCUGCUUUGAGGAGUGAUUGUGUUCCUCAAGCCUCCUCCAGGCUCUCAGACUCAGGAAUCGAGAGCGAGCCCAGCUCUGCAACACAGCUAGCCUCGUUCUCUCCGUCUCCUUUUGCUUCUACUAGUCUGGAGCCGCCUACAGAUCCGAUUCUACAAAGCGCCCACCAGAGACCAUCUCCGCUCAGCCCUGCCUCCAGAGGAGCCACCGCGUUGGAGGGUCUCAAUCCAGAGAGCACCAGCGGCAUCAGCGGAGUCCAGUCUUCCCUCACCUCCAUUAAUUCGCUCCCCUCGGAUGAUGAGGUUGAGACGGAGGUCACUAGCAGAAAGUCCAGCAUCCUGGUGCAAGAACAGAGCCUCAUAUUUUCAGGAGAAUCUCACAGUCUCGCGUUAUCGAGCUCUAGAGUUUUGACUCCACAAAAAGCCUCCAUCAGUCAAGGAGAUGGGCUGGUGUCUUACAAUGAGGACUCUGCUACCCAGCCCCGCUGUGAAACUAAUGCUCCUGGCAGGCCGACAGGAUCUAGUGAGACCGAUCUUCCAGGUGGUGCAGCUUCGGGGCCAGAAGCAUGUAGUGAGCCUCAGACGGCUGCCCAGUCCAGUACAUCGGUCACCAGCAGCACGGAUCUGGUGAAGAAAGGCUUUGUGGAGAACUACUUUGGCUCCCGUUCCAGCACUGAUAUAUCUGAGAUCAGCCCAUUGGAGACUGCAGCUGUAACGCUGGGGAUUCAGACUUGCACAAAUGCUAAUGACGAAGAGGAGGAGGAGGAGCAGGAUCGUGAGAUGAUUGAGAACGGUUAUUAUGAGGAGACCGAUGGGCUGGUUUAUGUUAAUGGACUCCCAGGGGAGGAAGGAAGGUGUGAGGAUGGGGGAGCAGAGGGAAGGACCCUUUUUUAUGAUCACCUGGGUUUGGAACAGCUCCAGGAAACCUACAUCCCCUCAGCCGGCCUGCAGACAUGGCCUCCUGGACCAGCAUCAGCCAGCAACGACCUGUGCUGGUACAAGAGCACUCCCACUGCUCAGAUGACAGCGUUUGCCCAAGCAAAAGAGGACUUGAAGCAACUAAAGUUACCAGGCUUCCUGUACAGUGAGGUGGCAGAUCUGGCGUCCACUGUGCCAUAUUUCAGCAUGGAUGAGGAUGAAAACUGUGAUGAGGGAAUACAUCUAAUAGUGUGCGUACAUGGUCUGGAUGGUAACAGUGCAGAUCUGCGUCUAGUGAAGACUUAUCUGGAGCUCGGUUUGCCUGGAGCUCGAAUAGAUUUCCUAAUGUCAGAACGCAAUCAGAAUGACACAUUUGCUGAUUUUGAGUCCAUGACUGACAGACUUUUGGAUGAAAUUGUGCAGUACAUACAAAUCUACAACCUCACAGUUUCCAAGAUAAGUUUUGUGGGUCAUUCUCUGGGAAAUCUGAUUGUACGCUCGGUGCUGACGAGGCCCAGGUUUAAGUGUUAUCUCAGCAGACUGCACACGUUUCUGUCUCUGUCUGGACCACAUCUCGGCACGCUGUACAACAGCUCAGCCCUCGUCAAUACCGGGUUGUGGUUUAUGCAGAAGUGGAAGAAAUCUGGCUCUCUGCUGCAGCUGACCUGUCGCGACCACUCUGACCCACGCCAGACCUUCCUCUAUAAGCUAAGCAAGAAAGCUGGUCUUCAGUUCUUUAAGAACGUGGUGCUGGUGGGGUCUCUUCAGGACAGAUAUGUCCCCUAUCACUCUGCUCGAAUCGAGAUGUGCAAAACGGCCUUAAAGGACAAACAGACUGGUCCAGUGUAUGCUGAGAUGAUCGAGAACCUUCUACUUCCUGUGCUUCAGAAGGACUGUAACCUUGUGCGUUACGAUGUCAUCCAUGCGCUGCCCAACACCGCCAACUCCCUGAUUGGCCGGGCAGCCCACAUCGCCGUCCUGGACUCUGAGAUUUUCCUGGAAAAGUUCUUCCUGGUGGCAGGGCUCAAGUUUUUUCAGUAGCCUUGCUAGAUCAGAAGCGAAUACCUCACUGCAAACGGAUGUUUUUCUGGUUAUUUUUUCCUCACAGUUUUAAGUAUGCUCUUGGAGUGUUUUUGCUGCAUGUGGCCUCUUGAAACCAGCUGAUCUUUGGAAUGUGGGGUCACCAUGGAAACUUUAAAAGACCUGAAUGAAAGCAGCCUGUUGAGCAGCACCACCCCCAGCUCUCCAGACUCCCUCUCCGAGUGCCGGACAGUGAUGCGGGAUGAUGUCAUGCGGUCCAGGCAGAGAAAAAGCCAGAGAUCGAAGGUCAUGUGAAUAUGAUCACAGCAGGGGUCACUGGUUGAAAACAGCACACAGCUAUUUUCCUGGGGACCAUUAAGAGGCUGAAAUUGGCAAGACAGCGGACAUCUUUUUGGCACAAUGGAAACAGGAUAAUCCCUUAUGGCCUGUCGUGACCCUUAACAGACCCCACAAACACAAACAGCAUGGCUCAUCUUAUUCUGCAGUAUGAUCAGAUGUUCGGGUGGUUAAUUGUGGGAUGGCGGUGGUCUCCGCUGCCCUGAAUUAGUGUAAUCUCAGACAGGUUAAUGCUGAUCUUGAUUAGUAAUCUGAUUAUGGAUUUAAUCUGACCCAGGCAGGUCCAGGUUGCAUUGUUAUUGCUUAAAGAAGAGGAAACCCUGCUGAAGUGAGGAAAAAAGAUUUCUGCACAGUUUUGCACAUAUGGUGAACAACACGCUGGCACACAGCUGCCCGUUAAUUCAUGAGCAUAUACUGCAGCACACUCACCAUAUUUCACUGGAAAAUAAUCAUAAUUUCCACUAAAAUAAUGUAGCUACUACAUAUAUUGUUGCUGUUUUAAAAUCAUAAACCAAUAUGGGCUUUCUUUCAAUCAAUGUAAAGUUUCAGAA